GUGUGUGUUUGCGUGUUUGCGCAGGGCCGAACGGACUUUGAAGAGCCCCUCAGGAUAGAGGAAGACUCACACUGGCAGACAGAGCAGACGUCAAAGGUCUCAGGGGGCACAGAACUCCAUAUUGACAUGAUUAACCAGCUACAGGAGGCGGUGGAGCUGCUGCAGAACCCCARCAGAGUGAGCGCAGAGCAGGAUGAUCUGUCUGAAGUCCAGCUGUACCCGGUGGAGAUGGUCACCGUGGAGGAGUCGUUCAACGGACAAGACAGCGAUGAGGGAAGCACAACACCAAAGGUACAGUUUGCCAAAAC